AGUAUUAAAAACAUAUUUAAUGAACAGACACUUCAAUCAAAAUUCAGCUGAAUGGAUAGAGCUCUUUCCCCACCAAUGGUUCAGAGGUCUAACCCUGAUAAACAGAGAAACAGAGUGUAUAUGCACGUUAACUCGUCUCCUCUCCCUUCAACCCCCCCCCCCUCGCAGAUGUUGUCCGAAGAAGAACCCCAAGGGCAGGUUCCCAGCCUUUUCGUGGGAAGAGGGUUGAGAUUAUAUGCAGGUUUAGUGAUACAAGACAACUAAAAGAACCAUAUGAUAAAUUUCCACAACAGCAGUCACAAAACGUGUGACUUGGUGUGUAGUUGAGAUUAAAACGUAGUCCAAGUUUGAAAAUUAAGUGUGGCCAAAGUAAGGUGGCCCGAAGUAAAGGGGGGGGGGGUCACUCGACGGCCUCUGAUUAUCACAUAUUCUCCAAGAAAAUCCAGAGUAUAUAAAAUAAAGUAUUAUAAUAAAGUCCUGAACUUACUGACCAUUUUUCAGUGAUCCAGCUUUAAAAACAUUCUCUGUAGAUGACGACUGUCUCUGACCUUUCUACACACCUGCCACUGUGUGAGAGAAAAACAGCAUCUAUUGAACCAUUGUGUCCUGUGCGUUGUUCUCCUUUGACCCUGCAGGCUGUUGGACGGUUUCCACGACUUGAACAAAAUGAUUUGCCAGAGAUACAAGAGAGCGAACGGCAUCUCUCGUGACCUGCUGCUGAGGACUUUACACCUGGAGCCGCAGUACGCUGAAAGCAGACCUGCACCCUUGACAGCCAAUCGCCGCCUCUCCCCCGGCCUCCCGUCGGCCAAUCGGCACGGUCAGAACGCUGCCGCUAAGCGACGGCUGUCCUACGACUACAACAGAAACGUCACGGAGUAACUGUGCAGGCUCAGCUCUGGUUGGACUGUGAUUCAUCCACGUUUGCCUGAAGAACUGCAGGGUUUUAACCCCGUCACGGCGGCACAGACCAACGGGUUUCUAAAGACUGUGGAUUGACAACAUGUGUACUAUCUGCUACUCAAAUACUGACUGACCUUUUGACUCUUUGCACUCUCCCUGGUUAUUUAAACCUGAGCCGGUGAGUAGAUGCAACCUGGAUGAAAAGUGAACGACGGUUGUAUUUCAGAAGUUGUCUCCUCCAGCUCCUGUUGAUGUAUUCUGGUGGAGUGUUUCCAUUAUGUGUCACCUUGUUCACCACCACCACCCUCCUAUUUUCAUUUUCCUUGUCGAGCCUGAUAACAGCAGGUUGUCAAAGAUUAGGUACUCGAGGAAGAGUCAAGAACAUCAUAAUGUCACCACGUCAACCAGGAAUUUUUCCUUCCUGUUCAUUUAUUAUCUGAAAUUGUACCUUAUUAGAUAUAUGUUCUCCGUGUCAGAGCUGCUGUUUUUGCCAGAAGUUGUCUCGUUGUUUGAGCUGGUGCAGUGCCCAUUGGCGGCGUCCCAGUUCAGAGUGGACUGAUUGCUUGACUCCAGAUCCCGGAAGUGCUGCGAGGAAGUGAAGAAGAGCAUGGUUGUAAUCUUAGUAUAUCCAGCAUCCUGCAGGAUAAGUGACCUGCGGUCAGCAUGCCACGGCCCCGUACAGCCCCGCUGUGGGCGACAUGCUAACGUCCGCAGAGCCCUGAAGAUCCGCCCCCCGCUGCUACUGAGCACCAAGGCUAAUUUAUUCAAAGUUUUUUAUCUUUUAAAGAUCCUGGUGUCCAAUUUGCACCAAGGUCAACAAAGCACUCUGUGGGGACCCCAGCAAAACCCCCACCAAGUGUGAAGUAGAUCAGAGAAGGGGUUCUCGAGAUAUGCAAAGGUGAGCAUGGUUUGCUAACUAGCUUAUCUGUAUUGUAUAGGCAAACAUUUCAACCCUGCUUCUCCUUCUCUUUUCUUUUGCCUUUUUGCAAAAUAUGUUUCUUAUCCAGAAUAUGAAUUUUCUCUUUGGCUCCACCAAACAGUUGUCUAACUCAACUCAAUGAUAUUUCUUCUUCCGGAGCAGCUCUGCCUUCUUUGAGCUAUUCUGCCAAGUCGGAUAUAUCGGGGCUUUCUGGGAAAACCACUUUGUCAGUUAUACUUUCAGAUACAGAGACAUAACUCUUCUGCCUGCCUCCUAGAAAUUGUUUUUUGCUUACACUCUAUUAACACAGUGGCUCAUAACCGCAGGUACUCUUUAUUCAAACUCGUAACAUCUCAACUCCCGACAACAGAAACCUGCUGUACUGAUGCUGAGAUCUCUCUACAAAUAAUGUCAGCUGCAUGUCAAAGCUCAUUUCACCUCCCUUCUUGUUUUUCAAUGGAACACGGAUCAUGUGAUCUUGGAGAGCAUUGUUUUUAUUAAUUGCAGAAUGCUGAAGAUGGAUCCGUAUGGGAUGAGUCUUACAUUUAUUUCCUUUUACAUUUUGCAGAGUGAUGCAUGUGCUUUCAUUGUGUAUCUGUCACAGAAUAGCCAAUGACAGAAAUGAGUCCGAAAAAAAUGAAACAAGUUUGUCUUCCAGUUAGUGCCAACAGGACCACCGAUGAAAGUGCCAAUGUUUACGAGGAGCGAAGCAGACAGGUUCAGGAGGAAACGUCGCCUCUCGUUUCUCAGACACGCUGAAGUGGACUCAAACUCUAAAUUUCAGCACGUUGAUGUUUCUAUUUUUUCCUUUGUCUUUCUGUCCGGCUUCCCUCUCUUUCAGUACACUCACAGUUGAGUCCACUUCACGGACAAAACUUGAAUCUAGCUGCCAAUCGAAACAGUUGUUUUUUUAUGAGAAUAUUGUUCACAUUAUGACGUGUCGAUGAUGCACUGUACAAUUUUAAUUUAGACAUACUAUCACAUAUUGUCAACUCAGAAGGUUUAUUUCGGUCUGUUGUAUAUUUUACUUCAUGAUGAUUCAGAAACGUGUGUGUGUGUGUGUGUGUGUGUGUGUGUGUGUGUGUGUGUGUGUGUGUGUGUGUGUGUGUGUGCCAUGUGUACAAACUACAAAUUGCUGAAAAAGAACAAGAUGACUAUUUUCUGAUCUGUUCAAACAACGAAGGAGGAGUUGUCGCCUUGGUAACCGAUGUAAUAAAACGAUACUGUGUGA